rnacentral:lncRNA from 1 species
ACAGAGCAAGAUUCCGCCUCAAAAAAAAAAAAAUUUUAUUUCUUAGAAUACUUUUCAUUACCUUCUCAAUACCACAUGUCAUUCCACAGCCAAUGAGUAAAGUGAACAUUAUUUGCCUUGAAUAUGCAAGCAACUAAGACUCUCUAUACUUUUCCUGUCAUUUUAGGUACAUGUGUUACAUAAAGUGAGUUUCAUAUUUUACAAAAUUAUAUACAAUAAACACAUACUACUAGAACAAAAUUAAAGUUACAUAUCUUUAAGUAAAUAUGCUAAUUUCUGAGUAACAGUGAUGAGAACAUAAUAACAGUGAUGAGAACAUAAUCAUGUUGGAAAACAAUUCUCCAUGUCCCUCUUGCAUUUCUGCAGGUUUUAUCAGCAAAAGCCCUGAUGGUCCUUUUAUUCUAGACUAUCUUUUCAAGACUGUUUGUAUAUCAAACACCCUUAGAAGAUAAAAAUACUGUUUCCUUCCGAAGCAAAGGGCAGGUUUGUUUCUGUCCAGUAUUAUAAAGAUAAUGUCUCAGUCAAGGGCAAAGGUCACACAGGCUUACUGUCCACUGUAUAAAAAUUCAGAUUUCUUCAGGUUUAGAUUUCUCAGCUGUGACACAGCAUCAACCUGGACCCCUUCGUGUUGCCUGCAUAGGGCUUAGGAAGCAAGGAGAACCAACGAGAAGGUGAUGCUGAUGCUGCUGGCUAUGCAAUGAGUAAUACAUUUACCUGUCUCUGACCCUAGAAUGCCAUGACUUCAGCCAGCACCCAUGAAACUGUGUCAGGAUGAACACAAAAAGCCCAACAGUAUCCAGAAAUGUAAACUGAGCAAGGAAGAACAACAGGAGAUACAGCUACAAUGAAUCUAGGCUUUGUUCUCUAACAAGGGUGGACCCUGUCAAUCAUAUAAGAAAGGAGAUCCUGCCUGAGCUACAAGGCUGAACAAAAGGAAGCAAAAACCCACCAUCCGGACAUAGAAGCCAACACUUGAGUCAAAGUCUUUUCAGGGAAUUGGACAGUAUCUGAGUGGCUAUAUAUGUGGUUGUCUUCAAUCCAGAGCCUCCUUAUGUCUUUUGUUUUGUUGCAAUGCGGACAUCUCUUACAGUAAGCAAACUUUUAGGGAAUGUGUGUUUCUCUGCAAAAUGACACCAUAAUUAGAGACAGACUAUUCCUCCUCAGCCUUAGCCAAUGAGCUCGUGUGGCCUGCCCAAGUGUCGUGAGUCGGGGGGGAAUCGUCCUGCUCUGUAAAUAUUUUCAUUCAAUGUAAACAAAACACAGUUGCAAAUCUUUUAACCAUUCAGCUAAUUAAUGUUCUGAAUUACUGCCUAUAAAAUACUCUCUAUAAAUCAUCAGUAACAAGAAGAAUCACAUUACUAUUAACAGGCAGUAUUUUUCCAGGUACCCAAAGUUAUAAAAUUAGUAAAACAGCAAUGGCCCAGGCUAAAAGCAGUGCAAAUCAGCAGUUAAUCCUUGAUUCUGACCUGCUUCCUUUUGGUACACUAAUUUUACAGUCAGUUUCUGAUACCUGCUGUCCUCUAGUAAUGCUCACCAUGAGCUAAAGUUGGCUACUGAACUCAGUUAGGUGAAAGCUCCCAUCAGUUACCAACUUCCGAGGUCAACACUAGCUUUUUGAAGGAUGCUGAGGAAAAUGGGCAUAUUGGUACCAAAGGGCCCAUGCCAACAAUUACAAUUCUUUCAUAUCCCAUUUUUAGCAUAUGAUUCAUAGUUACCAACCACAUACUGUAAGAGUCAGAAGUGCAUGCAUCAAGAAAAGGAGAACUGGGGGAAUGUCAUAUACAGAGGAACAGGAAUGGGUAUGUGUAUGUUACGCUGGAGAACAGACAGGUGGGUGACCAAGGAAUACUAUCAACUUAGGUUUUAUUACUUAGAAAAAGUUCAGAAUAGAGGUAAUAUUUCAGAGGCAUUGGGGGUUGAUGAUGGGACAGAAGAGCUGAUGUGAGGAUGACACUAGCGUACCCAGCCUCAGGGAAAUCUUACAAGAAGGUCUUGAUACAGAAAAGCUACCGUGAAACUAUGCAGAACUAACAAAGGAAGCAGGGCAGAAUGCAGAAGCAGCCAAAUAAAGCGUGGGUAUAUAACACAGAAUGAGAAUGCUGAAGCUAAUCUACAGUGAAUUAUUAGGAUGUCAAUGGGAGGGAUUGGAGUUGUUAAAUGUGGAAUACCAAAGUGACAGGCUCACAAUUUAAACUCUGUAAUUACUGCCAUAUUUCACCUCAUCUGUUAAACACAAUUUAUAUAACAUGAUGCUUAUGAAUCCAUACUUACAAAGAUAAAUUCAUUUAACCAACAAACGUUGUUUUGAGUGUUUAGAUAAUAUUAAUGAACAGAUAAAAAUGACAAACUCCUUAGUACAAAAAAGCAAAUUUCCACAGAUAAAAGUGGAGAAAGUGCACAUGACGGCUUGAGAAUUUAUGUGGCACAGGCACCCAACUAUAGUUUUUAAAACACUGAUAGAAAAUACUGAAAUUAGAAAUAAUUUUGUAGAAAUAAUUGGAGAACACUACCAAAUGGUUUUUUAGAAUUGUGAGAAAACUUUGCUAAAAAUCAUGGGACAAAAUGAACUUAUAUGACAUGGUGUACCUAUCCUAAGUAUUGUAGAAGGAAUUCCUGCACUGAGAAAGAAGAGAACAAAAGUCUAAGAUAGAAAAAGAACACAUACGCUUAUAUCAAUAAAAGCUAAUAUACAUAUUCAUGUAAUAAGAGGAAUUUAUCGACUCAAAAAAGAGGUCUAGAAUAGCAGGAAAAACAUGGACUUUGAAAACAGUCCAACCUGGGACUGCACUCUAUUAUCAAUUACAUAUGAGAUGUGAGACACUGGGAAAGUUAUUAACUACACCAAUCUGUUUUCCUGUACGUAAAAUGAGACAAAGAGUAGGAAUGUAAACACUAUAUGCCUGUGUCUCAUAUCCAUUCACUUCUUCCCACUUCAGACCACAAAAUCCUCUUAUCCUGCCUGUGCUAUCAUAACGGCAGGCUAACCGAUUACUACCAGAAUAAUCUUUUCAACACGUACACUGAGAGGUAAGGCAUCCUCCCCAUAGCUGUUAAGGCCCUGCUCUUCCAGGUCCCACCUCUGGCUCCGGCCUUCUCAUCCUGCUACCCCACUUUCCACUCAAGGUGCUCCCAUCCACCACAAUGGCCCUGUCCAUUCCUUCCUUCCUCAGGGCCCUGUAUUCACUGUUCAUUCUUUCUAGAGAGCUCUUCCUUAGCAUAGCUAGUGUCUUUCCAUCCUCUGGAGAUCAGCUUUUUAAAUGUCUGCACCUCGAAAAGAUCUUCUGUCUAAAGACCAUUCUAUCUGAAAUAGUUCUGCCCAUUAUUCCCUACACAGCACCCUACUCAUUUCUUUCAAAUCAAUUAUAACAGUUUGUACUUAUUUAUUUCUCUAUUUAUUGUCUACCUUUAAGCAAUAAUGGGAUAAAGACUGUAACCCGUGGCUCGCAUGGGAUAGGUACUUAGGUUUCUUUGAGUUUAUAGUUCUCAAAGAUGUGGUCUUCUCCAUCUCCAAAGCAAAGAAACUAACACCAAACGUCCCCAUCUUAUUUCAAACUGGAAACAGGGUGUUUUCAGGACUCCUAGUGUUUAUUUACUAAUGACUAUUUUCUGAGAAGUGAAGUUUUCUCCACUGAAAAUCUUUUAUUAUUUAUUGGGCAGGAUAGUACAAAUACACAAAGACAAACACCUUUAUUAGCUGUAGGUUUGUGGGGAAAACAAAAAAACAAAAAACCACAUUCUUGUCACUCAAAUUCUUCAUACCCCUUACCAUGCUCGAGAAAACCCUCGGGCUCUUCAUAUGAAUAUGGGGUAAAAAGUAACUGCCUGGCAAGUCUCAAAUUAAGUAACGUAUAUGGAAGUGCUUCAUUAAAACUAUAAAACAGCAACUCUGAGGCCAAUAAGCCUGUACUGAUUUAGCUCCAUUCACAAGGGCUUUCCAUGCCCACCUAGAGUAUAAAGUAUUAUAUAUUUUAGCAUUAUUUUAAAUGUUCAAUAUUUCUUGUGAUACUCAGAUUUUCUUUUUAUC